GUCUGUGUGUCUGUGUGUCUGUGUGUCUGUGUCUGUGUCUUUGUGAUGCCGAUGAUCGUGCUGCUUGGAGAAGCGCUAUUACGCUGCAUUGCCAAAAGCCAUAGUGGGUAUGGUGGAAUCAAGGUUCAAGUCGAGGUGCAAGAAGUAAAGAGAGAGGCUGGUGUUGCAUUUUUUGUUCGAGAAGGCAGCUACACUGUCUGAAAUUGAUCACUUGCAUCGGGCCUUCCAAUCAGCUAGGGUGGAUGGACAGCUCUACAUUAUGCUUGUCUGGAUGGUCAUUUGUCUAUUGUGGACAAAUUAUUAUUAUCCGGAUGUGAGAAAGAUGGCAAGGACAAUG